rnacentral:misc_RNA from 1 species
UGGUGAACUUUUAAAUGCAGUUUCUGAAACAACACAUCGAGUUGGAAGAUUUUCUGUCUCGACCCCACCUGACUUGCCUUACAUGGAAAUGGCUGGGCAUUGUGAGGCCCUUUCGGUGGGAAAGCAGAAAAAGAUUUCUGCUUUAAUGAAUUCUCAACAAAGUUUGAUUAGAAUAUCUGCUGAUGAACAUAACCAAGCAAUGCCAAUGCUGACCUGUGAACAUAACCAAGCAAUGCAGAUGUCAUCCAAUUUUCACUUUCAGCAGUGUGGAAACCCAUUCCUUGA